UACAGAGGUCCCGAGCGUUGUUCGGAUUUAUUGGGCGUAAAGGGCUCGUAGGCGGUCUGUCACGUCGGGAGUGAAAACUCAGGGCUUAACCCUGAGCCUGCUUCCGAUACGGGCAGACUAGAGGUAUGCAGGGGAGAACGGAAUUCCUGGUGUAGCGGUGAAAUGCGCAGAUAUCAGGAGGAACACCGGUGGCGAAGGCGGUUCUCUGGGCAUUACCUGACGCUGAGGAGCGAAAGUGUGGGGAGCGAACAGG
rnacentral:rRNA from 1 species